AGUGGAAGGGUACAACCCCACAGACACUAUCAUUGAUUGUCCGCUUCUUUUUUUCUUUUGUUCCUUUGCCCCAGAUCCUGUGUUCAAUUUAGGUGGCAGUGUGCAUAGCUGAGCCAUUGUAUGCUGAAAAUAAGCAGAGAAGAUUGUGGCUAGGUUUCCUGAUAGAGUGCUGCAGUUCCUGACUUCCAUGUAGGCUUCUUCCUGCUUAGAGAGGAGAUACAGGAUGCUUGUUAGUGAGAUGGCCAUCUCAUCAGUAAGAGAUCAAGGAGCACCAGACACUGAUAUGAAGGGUUCCCCAGAUCAACUUGUUAUGUUAAAAAUAAAAUACUUGGCCGACUCUGGCCACCCAUCAGUUUCAAGCUCACCAAACCAGAAAGAGUUCACAAAUGAGCUACCACCAUGAACACAGUCUGGUCUGAGAAGGGACGCUGUCUUCCUGGAUCACCUGUUCUUUUAAAAAACACACAUCCAGACUGCAGCUAGAGGUAUUCAGCAACCUGGUGCUGUCAGUCACCCAUGUACAGAGGAAGAUGCAGGUGAAGGAAGCCCUGUUUUGUGGCAUGCUGGAUCUGUGCCUCACUGUGGCUGUCCAACAGGAGGUGAGACCAGUUUGCCGAGUCCCAAGCUGGAGGGUUGGCUCGGGACCCAGUGCCUGUGAAGAGUGCUGAGGAGAGGAUAACUUAUGGUGUGUGCUUUGAGAUUCCCUUAAAUAGAAAAGAGCAGCCGGUCCCUACUCCCCAGAAGUCUACUGUCUUCCGUGUUUCUUGUUGACUACGUGGAGAAACACAGACCUCUGAAAACUAGCCAGAAGAGCUUUGGGCUCAAAGCAUAAUACUCAGAUGUGGCUGAGACUCAUGUCUCCGGUAGAAGCGUGUCUAUUGCUUAGGAUGUCUAUGAGGAUAUAGUUAUAUCAGGAGCACAAAUGGCCUGGUCAGUUUUGGGACUUAUAGGUCUUCAAUAAAUAGGACUUCCCUUUCUCACUGUAAGAGUGGCAGCUGUCUCAUUCUUCUGCAUAUGCAUGUGAAGGUAAGAGACUGACUGUCCAGCAAGCCAGAGGGGCCCACCUGUGUUCCUCUGUGUAUCUUCUGGGCUGGGACUUCAAGUAUAUACCACCACUCCCAGCUUUUUAACUGGGCUCUGGGAUUUGAACUCAGGUCCUCCUACAUGCACAGCAAGCAUGCACUGAUCUAGCUAUCACCUAGCUUGUUCCCUUUUAUCCAUUUUGAUAUCUUCUAAGACCCCUAGAUAGCACCUUGCCUUACAUAAACUGUUUCUCCUGUCCCUAUGAUAAAGCUUAAUUUGUGAGUCAGGAAAAGUAAGACAUUACUAAUAGUGAAAAGAUCAUGUUACAGUUAUACAUUAUAAUGAGAGUUCUCUGUUUUCUUUCUCUCACCCUUGUAAUAAGUUCUUUCCUCUACCACAGUGGUAUUCAAUCUCCCUAAUGUUGUGAUCUUUUAAUACAGUUCCUUUUGCUGUGAUGACCCCCAACAAUAAAAUUGUUGUUGUUGCUUCACAACUGUAAUGAUACUACUGUUGUGAAUUGUAAUAUAAAUAUAUAUGCUUUCUGAUGGUCUUGGUCAACCCCUUGAAAGGGUCAUUCAACUCCCAAAGGGAGUUGUGACCCACAGUUUGAGAAAUACUGCUCUACUACAGAAGAGCAGAACUGUCCUCUGGGAGUAGAAACUUGGAGGGCAAAUCUACAGACCAGAAGGGACAACUGAGCUAAAAAUAUCCACUUAGGAAGCUUGAAUCUCACUGAGAAGGGGGAAUAAAACAGUCAUAAGAGGCAGUUGGAGGGGAAGGGAGCUGGGAGGAGGAAUAUGGGGAGGGGAGUGGUGUGAAGAAGGAUGGGGUGUGUGACUAGAUGGCCAUGAAGGUGAAUAGAGGUCUUGCUUGAUGGGGGUGGAGAUGUGGGGGCAUUUCCAGGACCAGAUAGAGACCUAGGAUAAGGGAGGUACCCAAGAAUCAACAGGGUGACCUUGACUGUGACACACUAUGUUGGGGAUGUGGAACCUGAGGAUACUACCUCUUGUAUACAGACAGGAACCCCCAAUAGAGCAAUAGAGACACCAACACACCCA
rnacentral:lncRNA from 1 species